UACGGGGGGGGCAAGCGUUGUUCGGAAUUACUGGGCGUAAAGGGCUCGUAGGUGGCCAACUAAGUCAGACGUGAAAUCCCUCGGCUUAACCGGGGAACUGCGUCUGAUACUGGAUGGCUUGAGUUUGGGAGAGGGAUGCGGAAUUCCAGGUGUAGCGGUGAAAUGCGUAGAUAUCUGGAGGAACACCGGUGGCGAAGGCGGCAUCCUGGACCAAUACUGACACUGAGGAGCGAAAGCCAGGGGAGCAAACGGGAUAGAA
rnacentral:rRNA from 1 species